AGAAGAUGAUCUGUAGCUCAUUGACUGUUGAGUUCCCUCGAGUCUCUCUUUCUUCCGGCAAGGUAAAGUUCAGUUUUCUGGUGACCAUGUUUAUUAAAUUCUUUGGUAGAAUCCAUAUUGAUUCUAAGAUGACAUUAUAGUGCAUUUUUGUCCAGACAUAUGAUUUUUCAUCAUCUGGUGUAUGUCAAUAUAGCACAGCCCACACAUACCCUCCUACCCUGAGUAAAUCUGAAUCCCCAUAUUUCAGUUCUGAACUCCAAAAUGUCGUACUCAAAUGGCUUGACCCCAGAUCCAUGUUCUGGACUCUUGAUAUUUUGUGAGGCCUUUUCAUUUAGCUGCUCAAUCUACAUAUGCAGAAAAUCACUCUCUGGAUGCGUGCAUUUCUGGCUGUACCUGAAGAAAUAACACUCAAACAUAUUGUCUUCCUUUGUGUUUCCGAUAAAUUAUUUAUAAAAACACACGUAAAACAGAAGUUGCAGAACCUGCAUUGGACCAUGCUCAUUUGCUUUGUCCAUUUUUUCGAAGAAAUAACACUCUCCAGAUUCCUAAGCAUUCAGAAUUAUGACUUAGUGUGCUAUUACAUUUCCCAGUAUCAGACGCUAUAUUUUUUGUGGGAAUCAUUGACACAGUUCCUUCAGAAAGUUGUAUCUCUGAAAUGGACAAACUGCUCUUAUGUAAUUCUACCAUCCAUUCUGAUGUUGAGGCAAAUAUACAUGUUAUGCAGGCGUACUAUUGUUCAAGAUAGUGUGUGUGAUAUAUGAGGGAACGGGGAGGAAGAUGAAUAUCAUGUUGUUAUAUCAUGCACAAAAAUUAAGGCGUAGAGAUUUGCCAUGAGGAAAGAGUGGAGGCUUCCAGAAGAAAAGGAGUUCUGGUACAUGGAACAGACUGGCUACAAAUCCUACUGGACAAGUAUGAUUAAGAGAUAAGAAAGAAAAAUUUGCUGUUGUUAUGGAGAGCCUGGUUUGUACGAGAUAACUG
rnacentral:lncRNA from 1 species